AGUGUAGGCGGUUUCGUAAGUCGGAUGUGAAAGCCCCGGGCUUAACCUGGGAAUGGCAUUCGAUACUGCGCGGCUAGAGUCUGAUAGAGGGAAGUGGAAUUCCAGGUGUAGCGGUGAAAUGCGUAGAGAUCUGGAGGAACACCAGUGGCGAGGGCGGCUUCCUGGAUCAAGACUGACGCUGAGGCUCGAAAGCGUGGGGAGCAAACA
rnacentral:rRNA from 1 species